rnacentral:rRNA from 1 species
GACGUAGGGCGCGAGCGUUGUCCGGAUUUAUUGGGCGUAAAGAGCUCGUAGGCGGUCUGUCGCGUCGGCUGUGAAAACUCGGGGCUCAACUCCGAGCUUGCAGUCGAUACGGGCAGGCUAGAGUUCGGUAGGGGGAGACUGGAAUUCCUGGUGUAGCGGUGAAAUGCGCAGAUAUCAGGAGGAACACCGAUGGCGAAGGCAGGUCUCUGGGCCGAUACUGACGGCUGAGGAGCGAAAGCGUGGGGGAGCGAACAGG